rnacentral:rRNA from 1 species
UACGGGGGGGGGCAAGCGUUGUUCGGAAUUACUGGGCGUAAAGGGCGCGUAGGCGGCCUUCUAAGUCGGACGUGAAAUCCCUCGGCUCAACCGAGGAACUGCGUCUGAUACUGGAAGGCUUGAAUCCGGGAGAGGGAUGUGGAAUUCCAGGUGUAGCGGUGAAAUGCGUAGAUAUCUGGAGGAACACCGGUGGCGAAGGCGGCAUCCUGGACCAAUUCUGACGCUGAGUGAGCGAAAGCCAGGGGAGCAAACGGG